ensembl:snoRNA U3 Small nucleolar RNA U3
AAGACUAUACUUUCAGGGAUCAUUUCUGUAGUUUCUGACUGGAGAAAUGCAUUAUGAAAGUGUUUGGUCAUGCUGGCCACGAUGAGGAAGUAUGGCAUUCUCUUCUGAGCAUGAAGCAGUUAAAGAACAUGGGAAUUUUUCCAUGGUUCUGUGACUUUGAUGAUUGUGCCGGAAUCUCUAUGGAGAAGCUAGUGGAAGAGAAUGCUGUCUGAGGGGU